UACAGAGGUCCCAAGCGUUGUUCGGAUUCACUGGGCGUAAAGGGUGCGUAGGUGGUGGGGUAAGUCGGAUGUGAAAGCUCGGAGCUCAACUCCGAAAUGGCAUUGGAAACUACCCUGCUAGAGGAUUGGAGGGGGGACUGGAAUACUUGGUGUAGCAGUGAAAUGCGUAGAUAUCAAGUGGAACACCAGUGGCGAAGGCGAGUCCCUGGGCAAUACCUGACACUGAGGCACGAAAGCUAGGGGAGCAAACAGG
rnacentral:rRNA from 1 species